rnacentral:misc_RNA from 1 species
AACCUUAUGGACCUGCGGGCGUAUACCUGCGGAGGGAUCAUUACCGAGUUUACAACUCCCAAACCCCUGUGAACAUACCUAUAUGUUGCCUCGGCGGAUCAGCCCGCGCCCCGUAAAACGGGACGGCCCGCCGCAGGAUCCACAAACUCUGUUUUUAUUGUAACUUCUGAGUAACAAAACAAAUAAAUCAAAACUUUUAACAACGGAUCU